rnacentral:rRNA from 1 species
GGACCAUCCUCCAAGGCUAAAUACUCCUGACUGACCGAUAGUGAACCAGUACCGUGAGGGAAAGGCGAAAAGAACCCCGGCGAGGGGAGUGAAAAAGAACCUGAAACCGUGUACGUACAAGCAGUGGGAGCACAGGUUUACCUGUGUGACUGCGUACCUUUUGUAUAAUGGGUCAGCGACUUAUAUUCUGUAGCAAGGUUAACCGUAUAGGGGAGCCGGAGGGAAACCGAGUCUUAACCGGGCGUUAAGUUGCAGGGUAUAGACCCGAAACCCGGUGAUCUAGCCAUGGGCAGGUUGAAGGUUGGGUAACACUAACUGGAGGACCGAACCGACUAAUGUUGAAAAAUUAGCGGAUGACCUGUGGCUGGGGGUGAAAGGCCAAUCAAACCGGGAGAUAGCUGGUUCUCCCCGAAAGCUAUUUAGGUAGCGCCUCGUGAAUUCAUCUCCGGGGGUAGAGCACUGUUUCGGCUAGGGGGCCAUCCCGGCUUACCAACCCGAUGCAAACUGCGAAUACCGGAGAAUGUUAUCACGGGAGACACACGGCGGGUGCUAACGUCCGUCGUGAAGAGGGAAACAACCCAGACCGCCAGCUAAGGUCCCAAAGUCAUGGUUAAGUGGGAAACGAUGUGGGAAGGCCCAGACAGCCAGGAUGUUGGCUUAGAAGCAGCCAUCAUUUAAAGAAAGCGUAAUAGCUCACUGGUCGAGUCGGCCUGCGCGGAAGAUGUAACGGGGCUAAACCAUGCACCGAAGCUGCGGCAGCGA